UUUUUUUUUAAAGUGUUGAGACAGUUUUACCAAAUUGCCCAGACUGGGCUCCAAUUUGGUAUCCUCCUGCCUCCGCCCCCCUAACUAGCUGGGUUACCCGCUUUGAGGUUCAGAUUUUCAUCUUUGUUUCUCUUGUGGACUGAGGGAGUCUGGUACCUGUUACUGAGGACGAUUCAGAUGAAAGAGCUUUGGGAUUAGGUGUGAUAAUGUGUAAGCGUAAAUGUUGAGACUACGUAUAGAGUUGUAUUUCGGUGAAACUUACAUUUGCGGAGCACUGUUUGAGAAGGGUAAGAGUGUACGAGUGCGUGGAGCAGGUUUGAGAGCCACGUGAAAGGUAGGAAGGGAUCCAGCCUCCCGCUAGGGGAGGCAGCCUCUGUUUCCACACGAACCGGAAUAACCUGUUGCGAGACCUCAAACUCCUGCGGUUACAGGUCGGCGUCCCAGCCGCGCGCACAGGAAUCCGCCGGCGGUAGUCGCGCGCCCAGCCCUUGACAGGAGGGCAAUCACGUGGCAGCCGGAAAGCGCAGCUUUGCGACCUCGAUGACAGGCAAAAUGUGCGACAGCCCUGGCGCUGGCCAACCAGGGGCGGAGGCAGCAGCUAGGGAGGAAGCGGAGGAGGCGGAGGCGGCCGCGGGGUUCGCCCGUCUGCUCGUUCACCGGCUUUCCCCGCCCCUGCCGCUCUCGCUGCCGCUGAAAGGAGCUGGGGGCGCGCUGUCGCAACCUGCCCUCGGCUUGGCUGGCGGCAGUUGAGACCCGACCUGCCUGUACAUCAGCCUUCCUGUCCGGGCGGCGCGGCGUGGGCUCGCGGGCGCCUGAAGGUUACCGAGUGCAUGACUGCCUAGCGCCUCUCGCGCUGUCCCGCCCGCCGGGUCGUCCGCCCGCCAGUCCGCCGGCUUCCCCGCAAGCUCCUCGGCACCCGGCGGCGGCGGCGGCCGCCACGGCGACAACGGCCGCAGGAGGCGCCGUCUCCCGCCCAGGUGCACGUUUAGCUCCCGGCGCCUCGGAACUCGGCCGCCGCCAUGGCGUCCAACAUGGACCGCGAGAUCAUCCUGGCGGAUUUUCAGCCAUAUUACAUUUGUCAUCUGACACCAAGAUUUGGCCAAGGAAAUGCAAAUGCAAGAUUCUGUGAUCAUGGAAAGGUAUGUAUCUCCAGUUUGCAACAGUUGUAUACGUUUUUGAAAAUGCCCUAGAUUGUACUGUUAUUGGAUUC
rnacentral:lncRNA from 1 species